ACCAGAUAGGUAGAGCUUGAAACCAAACGGACAUCUAUCUGCCAGUCAACCUUCAUAAAUCUAUUAACUCCUUUCGAUGAGACCAAACUCAACAGAACGGAAAUCUUUUAGCUUAAUGAAUGAAUCACAGCCGAGCAUGGAGAAAAAGUGAGGAGAGUCUCCCCGGUUCAGAGGCAUGUUCUUGCACAGGAAAUUUACCAGGGAAUCGCUGCAACAUUAAGAAGAGCCUGCCACAAGAUGACAAUUCAGAGUACAGAUUCUUACAUAAGAAGCGUAUCUUCUAGGAGAACGAAAACCAAGCAAAAAGAGAAAUCAAAGGUACAUGCUAAAAGGCUAUCACAUACAAGUUCAUCAUAUUGCAUAACUGCGCAAACACAAACUAUUGCAAUUAGAAGAAAGACAGCACAAUAAGUAUAGAUAAGUAUGCAACCGCUGGCAUCCUCAUAAGACUUUUGAAGUGGCCCCAAGUAACUAACACUUCAUCUCAGCCCACUUCAUGAAAAACAGAACAACGAUUGGAUUCAUAAAGGAUCCAGUUUAUGAACCUUGACCCUAGAAGUAAGAUGAUCAAAAUGCACUACAUGAAUAGCAUGGGGAUCAUAACAACAGGAGACAUCAUAGAAAAGUCGGAUGAUCUUGCUAACCAGAUCUGAGCGCAGCAGCAGAGAUGAAGGAAUCCCCAUCCCUCCUUUUUUUUUUUUUUGAAUGUGUUUAGUGUCCCACUUCCUCCAGAGGAAGCAGGAGAGUCAAAAAAGAUAGCAGGUGGGAUAGGAUACAGAUAGCAUCUGAUUGCCAUGACCCAAUAUGAUUUACUGAGCAGUGGCUGAACUCCCACCAAGUAGAGUGAAACAUGAAAAAACUGGCACAACUUAAGCAACAAUCAAAACGCCUAAAAUAUUGCUCCAGCAGGGUCCCUUUAUUAGAAAAUUCCACCAGAACUCGCUCAGACGAAAAUCCCAUUCCAUCAGAUCAAAAUAAAUUGCAGUGGGCACUUGCUAUGAAAUAUAUCUUAUAAGAACUCCAGUGGCUGUUCUUUUCUACUUUUAAGAAAAAAAAGGUGCUGUCAACCUAACCAACCUCCACCAAAAAGUAGCAGCUAACUACAAAUCCAUUUUAGACCUGGAAUAAAUCUACUUUUGAGCCUCAUUCCAGGUUAAGGGAAUAGCAAAAUGACACAGCAUUGUCAUGGAUUUGGCAUGUCAUUUAACAUGGAGCUGAAACUUCCAGAUGGAAAUGAUGUCACAAGGAAAUAGUAGUUGACAAGUUGAACAGUUGCAUUUUAAUGGAUAUCUGAACCUAUACCGAUUAAAGCAAUGGAUUGGCCAAACUGCCAAACCAAAAGUAGCUGACACUAUUUGGUGUCAAUGCAAGAAUGAUACCAUAACCAAUGGAAAUCCACUACUUUUAGUGUCAUAGACAGCAAUUUAGUACUGGGAAAUUAAAGUGGUGUCCAUGGCUUUAUAGUAUUCUGAUAAACAAAUCUGUUGCCAUUUGCAUACUUUGGGGUUCAAUCCAAGCCCGCCUAUAGCAUUUGCAGAGUGAAAAUAUACAAUUUAUAAUUUUUCCUAGUGCUGACACCCUAUAUGAAGUGCUGCGUGUAUUCAUCUUGAUCAUGCAUGAAGAAUAUAUGCAAUAAGAAAACAAAAGUGGAUUACCUUCCACCAUAGAGUAGAAAACCAAGAGCUGCAAACAAAGACACACCUGCCAAGGAUAUCAAUGUUAAGAACAAAUUGUCUGAAUUACCACUAGAGAAUUACCAAUUAUGUAGAGAAGUUCAGCGUGUAAAGUAAAGAACCUGCAAAGAACACCUUUGAUAGGAUGGCAACAGUUGGAAUAGUUUUCCAAGCCAACACCAACCACAUAGCAAUCUGGAAUCGAUUAAAUCAAAGAAUCAGAGUUGAAGCUAAUAUGUUGCGGAUCAUACUGGUCAAUUUGCAAAGAGAUCAAUACAGCAAUAACCAGUGUACCCAUAGAAAGAACCAACAAACAGACACCGGGCAUGCAAAGAAUUUGGCAAACAGUCAUGCAAUGACUGAACAACUUCAAAGAGUAUAAUGAAUAGAUAGUGCAUAAUGUAUCACACCAAAUUCUCAAUCCUUCAACGAAUCUUAGGAAUGCUGCUAUGCAAAGGAAAGUGGUGUUAAGAGCCUGCAAAUGUCAUGUCAUUAUGAUUGACCUUCACCAACUCAGAAUUUUCAGACAAUGGAAAACCAGCUGAUAGGACAGUCUAGCAUGCUAUACUAGGUUUGCAAUAGCUAAAAGCUAUCGCAGGCAUAACCAUGGCCAGAUAUAAUAGUUGAAAUGAAUGGCAAGUUAGUACAAAAUUACCAUGGCUUAAUCUAGCUUGCUUACAUAAACUUCAAAGUGAAUUUUUAAAGUACUUGAAUAAAAGAAAAAAGAAACAGAAAAUUGUUGUCAGGUUCUGGAGCAUGUGGUUGUACUUAAAUAUGCAAACAACGAGAAACCGGGCAAUUUUGAAAUUCUCUUUGGAGGAACCUAGAAGCCAGUAAGGUAUGCAUUUAGAAGUUUUUUCCUGAGCUAGGUGCUUGUAAACCACUAGCUUUUUUAUUUCACAUCAUGGCUCUAUAUAGAAACUGUAGCAUUUUAUUAUGGCUUAUACAAGCAUCCUUUGAAAGAGAAUGCAACUGUGUGUAAAAGCAAUUAGCAAUUGGCCUGCAGUGCAUACAGCCAUACCAUGUGGAUGUUUGAUGCAUCAUUUCACAGAUUCAGUGGCAAAGAAUAUGAUAAAGAUUUUUCUGGAAACCACUGAUAAAGAUUAUUUUCUAUUCUCCCCUUCUA